rnacentral:rRNA from 1 species
GACGAACGCUGGCGGCGUGCCUAAUACAUGCAAGUAGAACGCUGAAGGAGGAGCUUGCUUCUCUGGAUGAGUUGCGAACGGGUGAGUAACGCGUAGGUAACCUGCCUGGUAGCGGGGGAUAACUAUUGGAAACGAUAGCUAAUACCGCAUAAGAGUAGAUGUCGCAUGACAUUUGCUUAAAAGGUGCAAUUGCAUCACUACCAGAUGGACCUGCGUUGUAUUAGCUAGUUGGUGAGGUAACGGCUCACCAAGGCAACGAUACAUAGCCGACCUGAGAGGGUGAUCGGCCACACUUGGACUGAGACACGGCCCAGACUCCUUCGGGAGGCAGCAGUAGGGAAUCUUCGGCAAUGGACGGAAGGCUUACCGAGCAACGCCGGGGGAGUUAAGAAGGGUUUCGGAUCGUAAAGAUCUUUUGUAAGGGAAGAACGAGUGUGAGAGUUGAAAGUUCACACUGUGACGGUAUCUGACCAGAAAGGGACGGCUAACUACGUG